rnacentral:rRNA from 1 species
AAGGUUUUCGGAUUGUAAACUCCUGUUAAGUGGGAAGAAAGACGCUUACCUAAUACGUAAGCGGGAUGACGGUACCACUAGAGAAAGCACCGGCAAACUUCGUGC